CCUUCAUACCAUCUCAAGGGCCAUGUGGAAGUCAAGGGAAGUCCUGGGGACACCAUUCUAGGGAUGAUGGACACGGACAGCAGAAGGGGUGAGGAUGUAGGUCUUGAGGUCAUGAAAACUAUAACUUGCUCAUAUUUGUUUUUCUUGUUAUCCUGGUAAUGUUACCGUUUUUCUAUUGAAUUGAUUUCUUUCCUGUCCAUGUGACAAGCUGGAUUCUUGUCAUGUCUUCCUGUGUUGUUAUCCUGGUCUCUUAACCGGCCUUCCUGCUCCCAUCUCUCCUCCCUUUCAAUUCAGUUUUUACACAGCUUCCAUACACAGGGGAGAGAAUGUCAGUUUUGAUCAAGUGCAGCAUAAUAAGUCAUUACUAAUUAAUUUGUUUAUUGACGAUCUCCUAUCCUCCCUAGAACAUCAGCAUGGACUUGGUAUUGCACAUUUCUGUAUCUCUAACCCCUAGUACCAUGCUCGGCACAUGACAGGAGCUCAGUAAACAUUUGUUGAGUGAAUGGAUGAAUGAAUGAAUGAGUGAACACCUUUCUGUGGGAUGACCAUUCCUUUCUUCCAUCAUGUACUGAAAUCAGACUUGUUCUUCAAGGCAUAGCUGACCUUCUCUAAUUGUUCGUCUUCCCCUGUACUUUUAUUCAUGUCAUAACAUGCAUCAAAUUCUUCUUUGUAUUAAAUUAGAUCUGUACCCCACUGCUUGUAAUUACCUCACAUGCAGACUCUGUGUCCUGCUCACCUCUGGCUCCCCUACAAUGUCUAGCACAUUGCAGAUGGGAGUAAUCAAUUAGCAUUAAGCUAGCGAGUAUUCUUAACUUCUUCAGCAGGUGACUCUCUACGAUCAUCCUAACUGGUCAAUUCCAGUGACCUAAUUUAGACUGGCAGAGAUUUCCAUCGACAUGCAUAGCGAACAUUCACAUCCUACAGUUAAAAUCUAUGGGGGACACAGAAGGAAUCUAAGGCAUGCUGUUGGUCCUUAAGGGGCUUACUGCUUAAUUAGGAAUACAAGAUGAUUCCAUUGACCACAGCAUUAGAGCCACUUUAGGAUUCUUGUUAAAAAUGUCGCCUGACAGAAGACCUCCUGAAUCAGAAUUUCUAAGGAGGUGGCUGAAAAUCUGCAUAAAAUCUUCAUAAGCUCCCCAGAUAACUUAUAUUCUCAGCAAACUUUGAAUUAAUGAAAACCCCAAUUGGCCUCAUUCCUCCUUUCAUUCCCAAAUGGUGCAUCUGAUCCCUAAUUAUAGAUGCAAUCGGUCCCCAGUUCCUAAGAAUAAUACUAGGUUCCAGAUCAACAUGCAAUGGCCUAGUAUCAAAUCACCUCUGCUACAAAUCUGGUAUCUAUCUCAUUCAUUCAGUCAUCAAAAUUCAUCCAUUCAUUUAUCUCAAAAUUUACUUAGAACCUGCUGGGUUUAUAGUAUUACCCCUGAGGCUUAGGUCUCAUUUGUAGAUUUCUACCUUGGUCCUGAUUCACAAGUCCUCAUCUAUUAACCUCCUAUUAGAGAAGUUCCCCUUUGGACUGAAGCCUCAUCCUGUCCUUGGUCUUCCUCCCCUCAGAGACUGGUGCUCUGUUCUGAGCUGUAGGUCAGUGGCUGAGGCCCAGCUAUUUGUUGACAGUGUUUCCAGAGACUGAAUGCUUACCUGUCCAGUCUCUGGCUUUCUGGAGUGCCAGAUCUAGGGCCUCCCCACUGUCUGUGCUCAUUUUAAGUAAAUGGACACAGUCUUUAUAUGGAGAGUAAGGCUUGAAAGAUAUAUGAAUAAGUGGCUUUUGUAACUCUAAGUGUUAUACAAGUGCUAGUUAUCAUCAUAAAAAAUAGGAGCCACGUAUAAAUGCAGGAUGUUAUCAGCACAGAAGUACUGGAAUACACCUAUCUCUGGUCAGCCCUUGGAAACUGUGAAGUUAAGUAAAAACAAGGUCUCAUAAAUGCACCAUAUUCACAAGCACAUGAAUUGCAACUGACAGGUUUACUUAUACUUGAAGCUAUAUAAAAUGUCCAAAUAUUUUUUAAAAAGUAAAGAAAAGAAAAAGCAAGACUUUGGCCAGGACACUCAGGAUAGUAGACCCUAUUGGUUGUCCACUCAACAGCCUUUCCAUCUUCUUGUAUUUCUUUCUUGCCGGGAAAGCUGAUUCUCAUUUCAGAGGCUGAAAUGUCCGAAAGGUACUUUCCAGGUUCCUUCUGGCUAGGGCAUUGGCACGUGAUCCAAUAAGUCUUGGUCAAGGGACCCAAGUGGAAAGUCUGCUGGUGAAGUUCUGUGAAGUGUUUUUCCCUGAUGAAAAGAACAACACUGCCCUUUCUGCUUUCAGACAUAGUUGCCAACUUGAUGUGUGGGGCGGUAGCAGCCACCUUGCUACAAUGAGGGGAUAAGCCUGAGGAUGACAGCUAAUACACUGAAGAUCAAUGAGCAUUAAGACAGAAAGAGCCUGGGUCAUUGAUGUCACUGUUGAGGGAAAAGGAACACUCUGAGGCAAGUGCUGUGAAAGUUCCUCCUUUACCACAGCUCUGUGUGAGGAAUGAGGUGCAGGACAAUAGGCAUCGUUACGAACAUCAAGGAGAGAAAAGAAGACUCAAUGACUCAAAGACUCAAAGAAGAUUCAAUGACUGUUAGCAUGAAUACAUGAUGAUGCCCUUACAUGUUUUUCAUAGAGGAGGUGUGUGGGUCAACCUGUGUGAACAUAUGGGAGCCAGCGUUCGAUGUCUCUGAUUCUGCACGACUCUUCCCCAACAUGAACCUUACGAGAAAUAUUGUGUUCAUUUUAAGUUACAUGUGCGGUGUGUGCUCCAAGCAUUCUGUAGUCAUUGCCAGUGAAGUGGAAAGUAAAGGCCUCCAAACAGGUCACUUUGCUACUCUUUACCCUAUUUCACAGCUUGCCCUACGAAUUUUGCUUUUAGCUGUAAAAUAGUUCUGUUGUGGGUAAAUGCUGGUGUUAGGGUUAGUUUAUGAGGGGUGCCUGUUAAGCAUCUGACUCCUGAUUUCAGCUCACGUCAUGAUCUCAUGGUUCCAUGAGUUCGAGCCCUGUGUCAGGCUUCGUGCUGACGGGGCUGAGCCUGCUUA